rnacentral:rRNA from 1 species
CGCGGUGAAUACGUUCCCGGGUCUUGUACACACCGCCCGUCACACCAUGGGAGCGGGUUUUACCAGAAGUAGGUAGCUUAACCGCAAGGAGGGCGCUUACCACGGUAGGAUUCGUGACUGGGGUGAAGUCGUAACAAGGUAGCCGUAUCGGAAGGUGCGGCUGGAUCACCUCCUUUCUAG